rnacentral:rRNA from 1 species
GACGAAGGUGGCAAGCGUUGCUCGGAAUCACUGGGCCUAAAGCGCGCGUAGGUGGCUUGAUAAGUCGGUGGUGAAAUCCUGGGGCUCAACCUCAGAAUUGCCUCCGAUACUGGCAGUCUCGAGUGCGGGAGAGGUGAGUGGAAUUCCCAGUGUAGAGGUGAAAUUCGUAGAUAUUGGGAAGAACACCAGUGGCGAAGGCGGCUCACUGGCCCGUAACUGACGCUGAGGUGCGAAAGCGUGGGGAGCAAACAGG